GAGUCUGUAGCUCAGCUGGAUAGAGCAACGGCCUUCUAAGCCGUAGGUCGAGGGUUCGAAUCCCCCCAGACUCG
rnacentral:tRNA from 1 species